rnacentral:rRNA from 1 species
AGUGAACGCUGGCGGCAGGCCUAACACAUGCAAGUCGAGCGGCAGCGGGUCCGUCGGGAUGCCGGCGAGCGGCGGACGGGUGAGGAAUACAUCGGAAUCUGCCCUGUCGUGGGGGAUAACCUAGGGAAACUUAGGCUAAUACCGCAUACGACCUACGGGUGAAAGCGGGGGAUCGCAAGACCUCGCGCGACAGGAUGAGCCGAUGUCCGAUUAGCUAGUUGGCGGGGUAAAGGCCCACCAAGGCGACGAUCGGUAGCUGGUCUGAGAGGAUGAUCAGCCACACUGGGACUGAGACACGGACCAGACUCCUACGGGAGGCAGCAGUGGGGAAUAGUGGACAAUGGGCGCAAGCCUGAUCCAGCCAUGCCGCGUGGGUGAAGAAGGCCUUCGGGUUGUAAAGCCCUUUUGUCCGGGAAGAAAUAGUUUGGGCUAAUACCCCGGGCGGAUGACGGUACCGGAAGAAUAAGCACCGGCUAACUUCGUG